ACGCUCGACACCUACGGGAGGCAGCAGUAGGGAAUCUUCCACAAUGGACGCAAGUCUGAUGGAGCAACGCCGCGUGAGUGAAGAAGGUCUUCGGAUCGUAAAACUCUGUUGUUAGAGAAGAACACGAGUGAGAGUAACUGUUCAUUCGAUGACGGUAUCUAACCAGCAAGUCACGGCUAACUACGUGCCUGCAGCCGCGGUAAUCUGAGCGGGCUGGCAAGGC
rnacentral:rRNA from 1 species